rnacentral:tRNA from 1 species
AGAGAAAGACGAUUAAAUUAAGAUUAAAAUUUUGAUUUAUUCUUUAGCUGUUAAUUUAAAUCUAUUAUAGUAGAGUCUCAUAGCUCAGCUGGUUAGAGCGCUACACUGAUAAUGUAGAGGUCGGCAGUUCGAGUCUGCCUGAGACUACUAAAUAAAGGAAAUUCUGGAAGUUGAGUAGUGGUUAUAGUCUAACUACUAACUACUACGUACUACUGCUAGUAUAUGGGGAAUUAGCUCAGCUGGCUAGAGCGCCUGCCUUGCACGCAGGAGGUCAUCGGUUCGACUCCGAUAUUCUCCACAAUCAGUUAUACUGAUAAAGUUCAUUGACAUAUUGAAAAAGAUACAUGAAAUUAGAUAUUUAUAUCUAAAAUAAAUUAUUGUAACGAGCAAUAAUAAACUCAUUAAAAGACAAAAAGUAC